rnacentral:rRNA from 1 species
AUACGGAGGAUGCGAGCGUUAUCCGGAUUCAUUGGGUUUAAAGGGUGCGCAGGCGGACGAUUAAGUCAGCGGUGAAAAGUAUGCGCUCAACGCAUAUCGUGCCGUUGAAACUGGUUGACUAGGAUACGUAUGCUGUGGGAGGAAUGUGUAGUGUAGCGGUGAAAUGCAUAGAUAUUACACAGAACACCGAUUGCGAAGGCAUCUCACAAAUACGUCAUUGACGCUGAGGCACGAAAGUGCGGGGAUCAAACAGGAUUAGAUACCCUGGUAGUCCGCACAGUAAACGAUGAUAACUCGCUGUUGGCCUGCAAAGGUCAGUGGCCAAGCGAAAGCGAUAAGUUAUCCACCUGGGGAGUACGACCGCAAGGUUGAAACUCAAAGGAAUUAACGGGG